ACAGCUGUGUGAUCGUGUGAUCCCAAGAUUGCAGGGCUGUUGCACAUGCCAUUGUGGGCGAGAUAAUCCAGCCCUUAAUCACUCCCAUGAAGUAAGAAGGUCGUUACUGGUAAUAUAUUGAGUGGGGAUUUAAAUAUCCUCAUUGAAUAUCCUUGAAAACUGUGCCUGACUUUUUGGCCUUCUUGAGUUGGAUGAGUGGUGUCAUCUCAUGGUACAUGAGGGUCCCAUCUAUUAAUGUAUAGGUUGUCAAUCAGGAGCUGAG
rnacentral:lncRNA from 1 species